rnacentral:rRNA from 1 species
UACGAAGGGGGCUAGCGUUGCUCGGAAUCACUGGGCGUAAAGCGCACGUAGGCGGACUCUUAAGUCGGUGGUGAAAUCCUGGAGCUCAACUCCAGAACUGCCUUCGAUGCUGAGAGUCUCGAGUCCGGGAGAGGUGAGUGGAACUGCGAGUGUAGAGGUGAAAUUCGUAGAUAUUCGCAAGAACACCAGUGGCGAAGGCGGCUCACUGGCCCGGUACUGACGCUGAGGUGCGAAAGCGUGGGGAGCAAACAGG